rnacentral:tRNA from 1 species
UGUGCUGGGAGUAUCCUAAAGUACAUCUACCUUCCAAGUAGAAAGCCCACAAUGGCCAACACAAC